rnacentral:rRNA from 1 species
AUUGAACGCUGGCGGCAUGCUUUACACAUGCAAGUCGAACGGUAACAGGCCGCAAGGUGCUGACGAGUGGCGAACGGGUGAGUAAUGCAUCGGAACGUGCCCAGUCGUGGGGGAUAACUACUCGAAAGAGUAGCUAAUACCGCAUACGAUCUAUGGAUGAAAGCGGGGGACCGUAAGGCCUCGCGCGAUUGGAGCGGCCGAUGUCAGAUUAGGUAGUUGGUGGGGUAAAGGCUCACCAAGCCAACGAUCUGUAGCUGUCUGAGAGGACGACCAGCCACACUGGGACUGAGACACGGCCCAGACUCCUACGGGAGGCAGCAGUGGGGGAUUUUGGACAAUGGGCGCAAGCCUGAUCCAGCAAUGCCGCGUGCAGGAAGAAGGCCUUCGGGUUGUAAACUGCUUUUGUACGGAACGAAACGGCUCUGGUUAAUACCCGGGGCUAAUGACGGUACCGUAAGAAUAAGCGCCGGCUAACUACGUG